CCUACGGGUGGCUGCAGUGGGGAAUAUUGGACAAUGGGCGAAAGCCUGAUCCAGCCAUGCCGCGUGUGUGAAGAAGGCCUUCGGGUUGUAAAGCACUUUCAGUGGGGAAGAAAGCCUUGGGGCUAAUACCCUCGAGGAAGGACAUCACCCACAGAAGAAGCACCGGCUAACUCCGUGCCAGCAGCCGCGGUAAUACGGAGGGUGCGAGCGUUAAUCGGAAUUACUGGGCGUAAAGCGCGCGUAGGCGGUCUGAUAAGCCGGUUGUGAAAGCCCCGGGCUCAACCUGGGAACGGCAUCCGGAACUGUCAGGCUAGAGUGAAGGAGAGGAAGGUAGAAUUCCCGGUGUAGCGGUGAAAUGCGUAGAGAUCGGGAGGAAUACCAGUGGCGAAGGCGGCCUUCUGGACUGACACUGACGCUGAGGUGCGAAAGCGUGGGUAGCAAACAGGAUUAGAUACCCCGGUAGUC
rnacentral:rRNA from 1 species